GGGUCUAUAGCUCAACGGUAGAGCACGAAGCUUAUAUCUUCGCGGUUCUUGGUUCGAAUCCAAGUAGACCCA
rnacentral:tRNA from 1 species